GAAGCUGACUUCAUCUUCACCAUGGCUUGGAUUCUUUUGCUCUUCACCAUCCUGUCUUCCUUCGGGGCCAGUAUCCAGCAGCUGCAGAGCCUGAAGGAUUCAGAGUCUGUAGCUCUAGGUGGGACAGUCACCAUGUCUUGUAGCUAUAGUGGUGGAACCAUCACUGACAACAGUUACCUUCGAUGGAUCCAGCAAAAGCCCGGGCAGGUUCUCAGGCUCUUAAUCGCUACUAGCAACAACAGGCCAUCAAACAUCCCAGCCCGCUUCUCUGGUUCCACCUCAGGGAACACCAUGUCCCUGACCAUCACAGGGGUCUUGGCUGAAGACGAUGCUACUUAUUACUGUGGGGUUUGGACUGGGAGCGGGUACACAGUCAUUGAUUCAGAUAGAGAAGUGAGACAAAAACCCUUUUAUUAG